CUACCGGCGUCGCGAGAUGACGGGAUGGGCGAACAGAAGUCAGCCGAGGCCGUAGUAGUUGCUCGAACCGGAGUAAUGAAGGGC
rnacentral:ncRNA from 1 species